GACGAACGCUGGCGGCGUGCUUAACACAUGCAAGUCGAGCGGAAAGGCCACUUCGGUGGUCCUCGAGCGGCGCACGGGUGAGUAACACGUGAGUAAUCUGCCCCUCACUUUGGGAUAGCCACCGGAAACGGUGAUUAAUACCGGAUAUGACCAUAUGUCGCAUGGCGUGUGGUGGAAAGUUUUUCGGUGAGGGAUGUGCUCGCGGCCUAUCAGCUUGAUGGUGAGGUAAUGGCUCACCAUGGCUUCGACGGGUAGCCGGCCUGAGAGGGUGACCGGUCACACUGGGACUGAGACACGGCCCAGACUCCUACGGGAGGCAGCAGUGGGGAAUAUUGGACAAUGGGCGGAAGCCUGAUCCAGCAACGCCGCGUGAGGGAUGACGGCCUUCGGGUUGUAAACCUCUUUCAGUACCGACGAAGCGCAAGUGACGGUAGGUACAGAAGAAGCACCGGCCAACUACGUG
rnacentral:rRNA from 1 species